UACCAGCACCCCGAGUGGUCGGGAAGAUUAUUGGGCCUAAAGCAUCCGUAGCCGGCUCUACAAGUCUUCCGUUAAAUCCACCUGCUCAACAGAUGGGCUGCGGAGGAUACUAUAGAGCUAGGAGGCGGGAGAGGCAAGCGGUACUUAGUGGGUAGGGGUAAAAUCCGUUGAUCCAUUGAAGACCACCAGUGGCGAAGGCGGCUUGCCAGAACGCACUCGACGGUGAGGGAUGAAAGCUGGGGGAGCAAACCGG
rnacentral:rRNA from 1 species